rnacentral:rRNA from 1 species
AGCGAACGUUUGCGGCGGGCCUAACACAUGCAAGUCGAACGGGCUAGCAAUAGUCAGUGGCGCACGGGUGCGUAACACGUGGGUAAUCAACCCUUCAGCUCGGGAUAACGCCUUGAAAGGGGCGCUAAUACCGGAUGCGACGCGAGGAGCCUCGGCGCUUCGCGGGAAAGAUUCGCAAGGAUCACUGAAGGACGAGCCUGCGGCCCAUCAGCUAGUUGGUGAGGUAAGAGCUCACCAAGGCGAAGACGGGUAGCUGGUCUGAGAGGAUGAUCAGCCACACUGGAACUGAGACAUGGUCCAGACUCCUACGGGAGGCAGCAGUGGGGAAUAUUGCGCAAUGGGCGAAAGCCUGACGCAGCCACGCCGCGUGAGCGAUGAAGGCCU